rfam:Triticum urartu cultivar G1812 contig1010541, whole genome shotgun sequence.
GUAGUACUCCCUUCGUCCGAAAAUACUUGUCUUGGAAAUGGAUACUAAUGAAUGUAUCUAGAACUAAAAUAUAUCUAAAUACAUAUAUUUCUCGGACAAGUAUUUCCGGACGGAGGGUGUAUGUA